UUUUCUGGGGAAACUGAAGUGAAAGGAUGAAACGCCCUUGAAUGUGGCAGCGGUGCAGGUAAUGAGUCCCGAAAUUCUCAGAAAAUAGAAAUGGAGGCCGAACCUGCAGAUGUGGAUGGCAGUGAUGUGAAUGAUGGAGCAUCUACACAGAAAAGAUGCUGGAAUCCAGAAAUUUCUUCACCUGGGGCCUACUGGGGAUGGCAAUAAACCAAAAACUAACCAAGCUGUGUGAAUACAAACCUGUAGACCUUUAGCUGAACCACUAUAAUUGAUGUUCUGUUUCUUAUGCCUGUUCAGUGUUUUGAUCAGUUAUAUAUGUAAUUGUU